rnacentral:rRNA from 1 species
CGCAAGGCCUAAAACGGACGGACCNGCCGAUGGCGGAAAAGUUUUUGGUGGGAUAUAAGCUAACCAUCUGAUUAUCUUUUGNUGGUCUCCGCGGAAUACCUUAAACCCUGGGACUGAAAAACGGUCCACACUCCUACAGGAAGCAGCUGAGNGGUAUUUUUGCCAAUGUGCGAAAGUCCGUUCCAGGGAGAGGCAAUGCCGGAUGAAGGCCUUCGGGUUGUAAACCGCUUUUGUACUGAACGAAAAGAAACUGGCUAUUACCUCGGGCCAAUGUUAAUUCUGUCAGAUAUUGCCGGCUAACUUUGCGCCAACAUCCGCGGUCAAACCCUGGGUGUUAGCGCANUCGUAAUUCCUGGACGUUUAUAGUGUUUCGCGGUUAUGCAGACAGACGGAAACCGCCUGGCUCCCCUGCAAACUGCUUUUGUGUCUG